rnacentral:rRNA from 1 species
AACGAACGCUGGCGGCAGGCUUAACACAUGCAAGUCGAGCGCCCCGCAAGGGGAGCGGCAGACGGGUGAGUAACGCGUGGGAAUCUACCCAUCUCUACGGAAUAACGCAUGGAAACGUGUGCUAAUACCGUAUACGUCCUUCGGGAGACAGAUUUAGAGGGGAUGGAAGAGCCCGCGUUGGCUUAGCUAGUUGGUGGGGUAAAGGCCUACCAAGGCCACGAUCCAUAGCUGGUCUGAGAGGAUGAUCAGCCCCACUGGGACUGAGACACGCCCCAGACUCCUACGGGAGGCAGCAGUGGGGAAUAUUGGACAAUGGGCGCAAGCCUGAUCCAGCCAUGCCGCGUGAGUGAUGAAGGCCCUAGGGUUGUAAGGCUCUUUCACCGGUGAAGAUAAUGACGGUAACCGGAGAAGAAGCCCCGGCUAACUUCGUGCCAGCCGCCGCCGUAAGAC